rnacentral:rRNA from 1 species
GACGAACGCUGGCGGCGUGCUUAACACAUGCAAGUCGAACGGAAAGGCCCUGCUUUUGUGGGGUGCUCGAGUGGCGAACGGGUGAGUAACACGUGAGUAACCUGCCCUUGACUUUGGGAUAACUUCAGGAAACUGGGGCUAAUACCGGAUAGGAGCUCCUGCUGCAUGGUGGGGGUUGGAAAGUUUCGGCGGUUGGGGAUGGACUCGCGGCUUAUCAGCUUGUUGGUGGGGUAGUGGCUUACCAAGGCUUUGACGGGUAGCCGGCCUGAGAGGGUGACCGGCCACAUUGGGACUGAGAUACGGCCCAGACUCCUACGGGAGGCAGCAGUGGGGAAUAUUGCACAAUGGGAGGGAGCCUGAUGCAGCAACGCCGCGUGCGGGAUGACGGCCUUCGGGUUGUAAACCGCUUUCGCCUGUGACGAAGCGUGAGUGACGGUAAUGGGUAAAGAAGCACCGGCUAACUACGUG